UGACUCCAAGAUUUGCCCUAAGAACUCGGUUUCGAAAUGCUGAAAGGAAAAAGGAAUUUUGGAAAUCAUACUGAACAAGGAGGAGGCUGAGGAGCUUGGCCAAAGAUGAGGAAGGCUGUCUCUUCAAUUCUGUUCUGGAGAAAUGCUGCGUUUCAGUUCCAGCGCUGAGAAGCACUCCCCGAGGAGAUGGAGAGCUGGGGAACUCAGGAACCUCCUAUCAUCCAGCUUGCCCUUGUUUUGAUCGUCUUCUGUUUGGACUAUUGCCCAGCCGCCUUUGGGCGCGAAGCCUCAGCUGCUUGCUGCAAAAGGAUCACAGAGGAUCCAGUGAGAGACAGGAAGAUGGACAGUGAAACAAGGGGAGCGACUCCUCUCAACCUGACACAAUUACGGACUAUGGGAGAAGCACCCAGGCUACAAAAUCAACUCAUGAGGACAAACCAAGGGAUGCUGCUGCCCCUUGAACGUUUUUCUGUCUUGCUCUCCAGGAGCUGAGGAUCUCUGGACAAACUCUGAGAGACAGAGGCGAGUGAAACUGCCAG
ensembl:lncRNA